UACAGAGGUCUCAAGCGUUGUUCGGAUUCAUUGGGCGUAAAGCGUGCGCAGGCGGUUCGCCAAGUCAGGUGUGAAAUCCCCGGGCUUAACCUGGGAAUUGCGCUUGAAACUAGCGGGCUUGAGUGUGGCAGAGGGGGGUGGAAUUCCACGUGUAGCAGUGAAAUGCGUAGAGAUGUGGAGGAACACCGAUGGCGAAGGCAGCCCCCUGGGUCAACACUGACGCUCAUGCACGAAAGCGUGGGGAGCAAACAGG
rnacentral:rRNA from 1 species